rnacentral:rRNA from 1 species
GAUGAACGCUGGCGGCGUGCCUAAUACAUGCAAGUCGAGCGAACGGACGAGAAGCUUGCUUCUCUGAUGUUAGCGGCGGACGGGUGAGUAACACGUGGAUAACCUACCUAUAAGACUGGGAUAACUUCGGGAAACCGUAGCUAAUACCGGAUAAUAUUUUGAACCGCAUGGUUCAAUAGUGAAAGACGGUCUUGCUGUCACUUAUAGAUGGAUCCGCGCUGCAUUAGCUAGUUGGUAAGGUAACGGCUUACCAAGGCAACGAUGCAUAGCCGACCUGAGAGGGUGAUCGGCCACACUGGAACUGAGACACGGUCCAGACUCCUACGGGAGGCAGCAGUAGGGAAUCUUCCGCAAUGGGCGAAAUCCUGACGGAGCAACGCCGCGUGAGUGAUGAAGGUCUUCGGAUCGUAAAACUCUGUUAUUAGGGAAGAACAUAUGUGUAAGUAACUGUGCACAGCUUGACGGUACCUAAUCAGAAAGCCACGGCUAACUACGUG